rnacentral:rRNA from 1 species
ACGAACGCUGGCGGCGUGCUUAACACCUGCAAGUCGAACGGAAAGGCCCUGCUUUUGUGGGGUGCUCGCGUGGCGAACGGGUGAGUAACACGUGAGUAACCUGCCCUUGACUUUGGGAUAACUUCAGGAAACUGGGGCUAAUACCGGAUAGGAGCUCCUGCUGCAUGGUGGGGGUUGGAAAGUUUCGGCGGUUGGGGAUGGACUCGCGGCUUAUCAGCUUGUUGGUGGGGUAGUGGCUUACCAAGGCUUUGACGGGUAGCCGACCUGAGAGGGUGACCGGCCACAUUGGGACUGAGAUACGGCCCAGACUCCUACGGGAGGCAGCAGUGGGGAAUAUUGCACAAUGGGCGGAAGCCUGAUGCAGCAACGCCGCGUGCGGGAUGACGGCCUUCGGGUUGUAAACCGCUUUCGCCUGUGACGAAGCGUGAGUGACGGUAAUGGGUAAAGAAGCACCGGCUAACUACGUG